CACCAAUGGCGAUUCCUCUACUUCGCCAUCUUCUUUGGUCGCUUUGAUCCCUCUCAGGCGAAGAAGAUGAAGAAUACGGCGGUGAGAAUGACACCCCGACUAUAAAAUCCGGCGAUAACUUAGGGUUUGACUACCUUGCUAUCAAUCCAUCAUCCAUCAACUCUCGAACAAUCAUUUUCUUACAAUUGUUCGCGCCCAAAUGAAAAUCACAUCGUCCACACCAGGUUAGAUACUUAGAUUUCUUUCAUAUAAUUGGGUUUUUGGCUUCUCAAAUCAUAUGUUCUUUUUGUAUUCUUCAGAUCCUUGUUUUUUCCCUCUAACUUUGCUUUUUCUAAUUUGUGUUUUGCUUUGGUUUAGCCGUUUAGGGUAAUAUGAAUCUCAUCGCAUCCGCUUUUUCUCUCCAGAGAAAAGGAAAAGCCUUUGGGUUAGUCGUUGCCUUUUCUCUCUCCUGUUCUUCGCCCAGCUUCCAUGGAUGACGAUAAGGCAAUUGCUGUCACCACAUGUAUCCGAGAAUCGUGGCCAGUUUUGUUGCUUACGCGUCUUCUUUGCGUCUGCAUUGGGCUUCUCUAAACCAGCUGCUUCAGGUAGCACAGAAAUGUCAAAGCACGCUUGCUGACGUUGGAUCUGAAGGAGUUUCUUCACAAGAUCUACAAACAAACAGUAAUAUGGUUGUAACAGCUGGUCAUCAGCUUGCUAAGAGCUUGGAGUUACAAUCACUCAUUGACUUGGGAUUCUCUAAAAGAUAUGUUAGUUUUUGUGCCUUUUAAAUUUAGAAUAGAUCAUGUUAUUUUGUAUUGAAGUCCCUAGAUGUUAGUUGAAUCCAAUGACUUCUUUUAAAGCAUUGAAAUAAGUGGA